rnacentral:tRNA from 1 species
GCUCCUAUGGUGUAAUGGAUUAGCAUUAUUGAAUACGGAUCAGUGGGUAGGAGUUCGAAUCUUCUUAGGAGUA